ACUCCUACGGGAGGCAGCAGUAGGGAAUAUUGGUCAAUGGGCGAAAGCCUGAACCAGCCAUGCCGCGUGUCAGAUGAAGGUCCUCUGGAUUGUAAAAUGACUUUUCUACGGGAAGAAUGAGCCGUCUGCAGACGGAAGUUGACGGUACCGUAGGAAUAAGCACCGGCUAACUACGUGCCAGCAGCCGCGGUAAUACGUAGGGGUGCAAGCGUUGUCCGGAUUUACUGGGUUUAAAGGGUACGUAGGCGGUUGUGCCAAGUCUGGGGUGAAAGUUUGCAGCUCAACUGUAAAAUUGCCUUGGAUACUGGUCGGCUAGAGUAGUGGAGCGGUGGCUGGAAUUUAUAGUGUAGCGGUGAAAUGCUUAGAUACUAUGAGGAACACCAAUUGCGAAGGCAGGUCACUGGUCACUAACUGACGCUGAGGUACGAAAGUGUGGGGAUCAAACAGGAUUAGAUACCCUGGUAGGAUAGCG
rnacentral:rRNA from 1 species